rfam:Nicotiana attenuata strain TT chromosome 1, whole genome shotgun sequence.
UUGGCGAUGAUGAGUUGCUAACACGUAAGAAGAUCUAAUUUAAGCUUGGAUCAGCUUGGAUCUUCAAUGAAAUUCACUUGCUACGCUUGGCUUCUGAGCUUU